GCCCAUUUAGCUCAGUGGCAGAGCAUUUGACUUGUAAUCAAAAGGUCCGUCGUUCAAUCCGGCGAAUGGGCU
rnacentral:tRNA from 1 species